ACUCCUACGGGAGGCAGCAGUGGGGAAUUUUGCGCAAUGGGGGAAACCCUGACGCAGCAACGCCGCGUGGGUGAUGAAGGCCUUCGGGUCGUAAAGCUCUGUCUGGAGGGAAGAAAUGAUUGGGAGCUAAUACCUCUUGAUCUUGACGGUACCUCUGAAGGAAGCACCGGCUAACUCCGUGCCAGCAGCCGCGGUAAU
rnacentral:rRNA from 1 species